ensembl:lncRNA
CCUCCUGUAGAUGUUCUUCUAUCUCCAUGUUAACUCUCUACUCUGCUCAUCAGCUUAGAUGUUUCACCAUGCUGGAUGGAUCUCCAGCAGCUUGCUCCUUGUGACUGUCUUCAACCUUUUCUUAUCUCUGCUGCCUGACAUCAGUUUCUAAAAAUAUAUAAGAGUCCGAUUUGUGUCAAGUUUCUCUCCUCCAUGUCAUUAUAAUCCUCAGACCUGAAGUUAGACACAGAAUCCCUGGACUUCUCUUGGAGAUGUUUGGAGAGGUUUGAAGAUGUUUGAAGAUGUUUGGAGAUGUUUGAAGAUGUUUGGAGAUGUUUGAAGAUGUUUGGAGAUGUUUGAAGAGGUUUGAAGAUGUUUGGAGAUGCUUGAAGAUGCUUGAAGGUGUUUGGAGAUGAUUGGAGAUGUUUGGAGAUGUUUAGAGAUGUUUGAAGAUGUUUGGAGAUGUUUGAAGAUGUUUGAAGAUAUUUGGAGAUGAUUGAAGAUGCUUGGAGAUGUUUGAAGAUGUUUGAAGAUGUUUGGAGAUGUUUGAAGAGGUUUGAAGAUAUUUGGAGAUGAUUGCAGAUGCUUGGAGAUGUUUGAAGAUGUUUGAAGAUAUUUGGAGAUGUUUGAAGAUAUUUGGAGAUGCUUGAAGAUA